rnacentral:piRNA from 1 species
UAGAUUGAUGAUUUUUACAGCUUGUCCU